GAGAGAAAGAGAAAAUAAGCAAACGACUACCCACCCACAACCCCCACCUCUCUCCCUCGAUACGCAGUACAGGUCGCCGGCCCCGACCCGCCAUGCCCUCCGCUUUCCACCUCCGGCGACCCGCCGCGCCCCUCGCCUCCCACCUCCUGCGACCCGCCGCGCCCUCCGCUUUCCACCUCCGGGACCCACCACGCCCCCUUCUCCCACCUCCGGCGCCGGGCGACGCGCCCCAGCUCCCACCUCCGACGAGGCGCCACGGCCUCCCACCUUCGGCGAUGCGCCACGGCCCUGCUUCCCAUCUCCGGCGACGCGCCGCCCCUGAACCCCGUCUCCUCUCUCGCGCCGCCCCCACUCGCCCCAGAACGCGUCCGUUCCUCCCACGGAGCCAAGCUCGCGCACCGUCGUCCCUCCCACCGCGCCGAGCUCGCACUCCAUCGCCGCUGGUGCCCCCAUCCUCGCGCCGUCCGUGACCCCUCCACUACACUCCUCUGCUGCAAGAACACGUCAGUUCGUGUGGAGAAUAACAGUCCGUCAGUUCGAUAGUUCGUCAAUUCGCCGAUUGGAUCCGUAGCAGCAGCGCUCGCUCCCCAAUGGUUGCCGGCGCAAGGAGGAUACAGGGAGGCGACAGUGGUGGAGUCAGCAGCGUUCCAUGGCCUUUGUCCUCCUCGUCGCAUAUUUUCUUAUAAACAACAAGAAGAAAACAAGGCAUAGGCUUCAUGCUCUCCAUCUCCUGGUAAAGGGGAGUUAAGCUCUACGGCCACUUGGAUGUGGAUGCUCAUGCUCCUCCACUGGGCGAGCUUCCAGGGCACCACGGGGAUUGAUAUUGUCAUCUCUACCAGUCGGCCAUGAGGGCCAAGAGGUUGCCUGCACCCUGCUGAAUGAAAUGCCACUUCUGACCAGCACCUGGCCUAAUGCCGGACAAGUUCUAUCAGUCCUCUCUCGACAAAUCCAACAGUACAGGUUUUCCGGGGUGCCAAGUAUUGCCGGCGGCGAUGCCUGCAUCAUGGCCCAUUGAGGAGAUCAUGCCGUUAGUUGUACUUGGUGGUGCAGACUUGGUAGCGGUGAUAUCUUGGUUCGAUUAUAUAUCAACAACAGUGCAAUGACUGAAAAAUCAUCAGUUCAAAAUAUAUAUGCAGGAGGUUUGCGAACCAAAAAGCUGAUAUUUUGUUGUGUUUAAAUUUUCAGGUGCCUGAUUGAACAAGAUAUAAAAAUAAAAUAUGAUGUAUGAUAUAUAAUUUUUUCUUGUAAGAGGUUCAAAGAUUGUCGUGGAACAAGUUAAAGAGUUCAGUACACCUGCGUCAGUCAUCCAUCAUCUUCUGACAUCUAGUAUCGAAGUCUCUCCCCCCCUCGCCGCACACACAGACCGGGCGGUCGAGCACCUCCUCAAGUGAGAUGGGCGGCGAGGCCCUACCAUCUCCCGGUGAUGGCUUGCCGGCACACCCUGUAGAUUCACCUCUCACUCGCGCCACGGCCGCAGCUUCACUCCCGUGUGCCACCCUCGGCUGCCGCGCCAUGGACUGUUCUCAGCGGCUGCGGGUGGAGCAGCUGGGUCGAGGAACUUUGCCUUGAUAGUACAACAUCACACUCUGCUGUCGGUCGUGAGAAGAGCUGCGUGCAGGCCACCCCGUGUCCGCCCUCGAUCCAUCUCAGUCAUCUCCCUCUCAUCCUCUCUCUCUCUCUGGUCUGUGUUUCUGUGUGCAGGGAGUGGGAGGAGAUAGAGCAGGGGAGCGGGAGGCCCUUCCAUGGCAAAUUCGUUGGCAUCUUCCAUGGAGAUUGCGACCUCUCUUGAUUUUUGCUUGAGGAUUUCUCCUCUGGAUCUGUCCACUGUAGUUCUUGUAUAGCGGCGUCCUUUUUUCUAGUGUUCCUCAAUGUUGAUGCAUGUGUUUAAUAACCCACUCAUAUGAAUUCUAAAAACAAGCUUCAGUACAAGAAAAAUGGGUCGUUCAGUUCAAUUCUGAAUUAUAGGUGUGUGUAAACACAUCCUCCUUACACAGUAACUAAUUAACUAUGAUACCAUGUUCAGACUUCUACAAAUCCCGAAACUAUGCAGAGUUAGGAUUGUUACUACCUUGUUUCUUACUAUUGAUUCAUUUUUAUACUAUAUUGAGAUGGUACAUGUAGUUGGACAUCUCAAUAUACUGGUGAUUGCUUCUUGCUGCCUCUAUUUUUAUCAUGAUUUGGUGUGUGCACUGCAGCAGUGUUUUUGUUCCUAGAUCAGUUGCUCAACGACAGAAUUGUGUAUCGCACAGUACAUGUAUUACUACUAUGAAGGUUCAGAAAUAAGAACUCAAAGAAGUAUUGACAGCAUAGCUACUGUAUAUUCAAGGAGUCGGGUUUUGCUCCUUCGUCAUCUCAUCUCCUCCGUUCAGCAAAAGCCUCGAGAUAAGUUCACACAUAUGGUUUUGUUCUUUCUAUAAUUCUUGAGUCCAAACUCCUUCGUUUUUUGUUCCUUUGAAAUUAAAUAAACCUGUAGAAGUUUGGGGUAUAAAAUUCUGUAAGUUCGAAUUCGGGAAACUAGAAAGUGCAGACAAAAUUAAAACUGUCAAAGAAUUAUUGUAGGCAAGUUUAGAAGUUUGGUUUCAUGAGAAAAAAGUAUGAUUUUCUAUCAGUAUUUUGUAUGAUUCAUUUGCCACAACUAAAAAUAAAAAAUUAGACAAAAAACAAUUUUGUUUACUAUCGGUAAUGCUCUCUCCACCCUACUGUCUGUUUUGGUUGAUGAACAAGUACGGGCAAAAUAUGUUGUAUAGGGCAAGUUCUUGUAUUAGUGCCAGGCAAGUUCAAAAAAUAAACCGCGGCAAGUUCAAAAUGAAAAUGUGGCAAAAACAAAAAGGGAGUUCGGAAGUAGGAAUUUGGAUGUAUCUGCCAUUUUUCUUUUUUGUGCUCAGGUUUACAUGAAAAUACACUUUUAGUUUCAGGAAUUGAAGAACUUUUUAGGAAGAAUUAGCCUUUUGAGCUACUGUUGAUGGCUGGCAUUUGUGCCCCGAAGUACGAGUUUGGAAGGCCAGUAAGUUCUACUCUGGCAUAAGCCAACGGAGCAUCGGUCGAAGAAGGCCGAGGCGCCUCGUGCCAGCUCCGGGCAUCUCCGGAGGCCCUACCUGUUCUUCCACCGCCCAUGUGCACUCACCGUUGAGCCUAUCCAUGCACAGCUCUAGUAUUGAUGAGCUUCAGGCUUGUCGUUGUUCAUGCAGAUUAAUUCUUUGUUAAUUGCUAUUGCACAUUUAGUAAAUGUAGCCUUUGUCUUCUCAGUGAAGUUUUAUUGUGAAGAUUUUUUAAUGCACACCGAAACCAGAUUGUCUGCUGCUACAUGCGCAUCAUAUGCGUAUUUUUCCAUCGAGAAACCUCAUCAUAUGUAAAUGUCUUCUAAGUCUAGAUUUUGAUGAUGCAAAGUUGUAUCCGUGUACACAUUUCUUAUUUCUAUUGCUCUUGGUUCAAAUGACCAAUUGCUAUGAGUUCCUAUGUGUGUUAGAGAACAAUAGUGUUUGGCCGGGUCAAGCUUUGCACUAGUGGAAUUUUUUUUGUACCCU